rnacentral:rRNA from 1 species
CCUACGGGAGGCAGCAGUGGGGAAUAUUGCACAAUGGGCGAAAGCCUGAUGCAGCAACGCCGCGUGAAGGAAGAAGGGUUUCGGCUCGUAAACUUCUAUCAACAGGGACGAAAGAUAUGACGGUACCUGAAUAAGAAGCUACGGCUAACUACGUGCCAGCAGCCGCGCUAAUACGUAGGGGGCAAGCGUUAUCCGGAAUUACUGGUUGUAAGGGGUGAGUAGGUGGCAGGGUAAGCCAGAGGUGAAAGCCUUGGGCUAAAGACGAGGAUUGCAUUUGGUAUUAUCAAGCUAGAGUACAGGUGAGGAAAGCGGAAUGCCUGGUGUAGCGGUGAAAUGCGUAGAGAUUAGGAAGAACACCAGUGGCGAAGGCGGCUUUCUGAACUGAAACUGACGCUGAGGCACGAAAGCGUGGGGAGCGAACAGGAUUAGAUACCCCAGUAGUC